GACGUAGGGCGCGAGCGUUGUCCGGAUUUAUUGGGCGUAAAGAGCUCGUAGGCGGUCUGUCGCGUCGGCUGUGAAAACCCGCGGCUCAACCUCGGGCCUGCAGUCGAUACGGGCAGACUAGAGUGCGGUAGGGGAGACUGGAAUUCCUGGUGUAGCGGUGAAAUGCGCAGAUAUCAGGAGGAACACCGGUGGCGAAGGCGGGUCUCUGGGCCGAAAUUGACGCUGAGGAGCGAAAGCGUGGGGAGCAAACAGG
rnacentral:rRNA from 1 species